CUCCUGCUCUUGCCACAUGUGACAUGCAGGCUCUGCUUCACCUUCUGCCAUGAGCAAAAGCUCUCUGAGGCCUGCCUGGAAGCCAAGCAGAUGCUAGCAUCAUGCCUGUACAGCCUGCAUAACGCCAGAAACCUCUGUGAUUGGUGGCACCAUUACCCGAGUUUUCCUCAGGCCUGCUGGGCUCAUUCCACCAACUUGACCUGGCAGGCCACACUCACCUUGCACUACCAGCACAGAUCCCACACCUGCCAAGGGCGAGUCAGACGUGGAGCAACAAGUGGUGCAUGAGCAAGUGAGUGUGGAGUCGGCCACUGCGCACACCCACGCACAUUGGCUGCUGUAGCAGGGCGGGCAGCUCCGGGCACCAGCACAGGCACUGGCUCUGGGCAAGCCAGUGGCAGGAUCUGAUGUACAGCAAGUGGCUUCCACUGUGCGUACCUGUGUCUGGAGGAGGGGAACACAGUGGCACCCAAAAGCUUGGAGACUCCAGAAACUACAGAGCCCCAAAUGGGGUGUCACAGCCCUAGCUCAGGGAGCCUGUAGGUGUGGGCUCCCCAAAGGGCCACAGCUCUUCUUUCCUUCUCACUCCUCACAAUGUGGGGAGUGGAGGGAGUAGAGGUUGGGUACAUUUCAGCACUGUUUGUGUUACUGUUUUUUCAGUCCUGCCAUUUGGCAGUCCCUGAGUUCUUGUCCUGUGUCCAGGAAGAAUGAGGUAUACAAACAACUGGAGAGUAGGAAGGCAGAAAGGAGUUUUACUGAGCAGCAGAACAGCACUCAGGAGACCCAGAGUGGGCAGCUCCCUUUCUGCAGGCAGAUCAUCCCAAGGAGUCAAAGAGACUCAAAUUGGGUAGCUUCUUCCUACAGCUGGUAGUCUGAUGUCUGUGUGAGUCUGGCUGGAUCUGGAGGUUUUUAUGGGCUCAGAAGGGAGGAUGUGUGUGCUGACUGGUCCACAGGCAGGCCCAGAAAAAGCACCGCAAGUUUUCACUCCCACUGUGAACUCCACCAGGAACUGACAGCCCAGCCCUGAGGCUGUAGGCUGUCCCUGUCUUGAAGGUGGGGCUUCAGUGGGGACCUGCGCCUUUCCACCCAUGAGCCUGUCUGCCUCCUGCUGCCACCAAUCAUGUCAUCUACAGGUGCCCCGGGUGUUUCUGUGGAGGGUCACCUGCAGGCCCACGUGGAGCAGCCCUCAAUCCUACCCCCUUGGCCUCCCUCCAGUGCUCCUUGGUCCCAAAGUUUGGAAAGGGGGUCUCAUUCUGUCACCCAGGCUGGAGUGCAGGAGCGUGGUCUUGACUCACUGCA